rnacentral:rRNA from 1 species
AAGGUGCGUCGACAGUGUGGGAGUCUCUUCUUCUUUUCCCCUCUCUUUUAUUAGGGGGUGGUGUGGGAAGAAGAAGCCCCUUACUGUUCGGCCAUUCUGAAAA